rnacentral:tRNA from 1 species
GCUAGCGUAGCUUAAUUAAAGCAUAACACUGAAGAUGUUAAGACAGACCUUAGAAUGGGCUCGUAAGCA